rnacentral:tRNA from 1 species
UCCCCUGUAGCAAAACUUGGUAGAGCGCCGCAACGCCAUCCCAGCGUUGUGAAGGCAAUGCGGGUUCAAGUCCCGCCAGGGGAA